rnacentral:lncRNA from 7 species
UAGUUAGGAGAGGCUCAGCUAUAUCCUCAUCCUUCCACCUGCCAGCAAUAGUAGGUGGGCACGAAGUGGUAACAAGUUCAGCCUGAUCCACUUAGCUUAAUAAAAGCAGUAUUUAGUGAAGUGCUGAUGGUCUCCAGUUGGAUGCACCAAUGUGUCUUUGUGGUGGGAUAACCAUAGUUGCAGCCCCCUGCUCCUAGGGAGACGUGCACCCCCCUGGCUUUCACCCCGCCCUUGCACCGUUCCAUUGCUCUGACAGCAGCUGGAUCCAGCAGAUAUUUCUCAGCUGACGGCAGGAUGCUUGUGUGCUUGCACAUCUGAGCUUCUAUCUAUUACUGUCUUUGGUUUCUUGGCCUGCUGUGAAGGAUGCUGCACACUUGCACUGUCCACAAGCUAUGCUUCAACGAAGGGCCCAUAGAAUGAUUUCCACCUGAUUCUCUGGUCUCGGAGUUAUUGGAAGGGCAGUGCAGUUUCUUCAUUUACCUGUCCAAGCUUUAGGUCACUGUGGGAGCGAAUCGCUCAGAGGAUGUGUCUCACUCCCCUGGGCAGGAGCCAGCCCUGAUUCCAUCCAGAUGCUCUCCAAAUGGCUUUCAGCUGUCUCUCCUUGAGGAGAACAGCUUGGUACCUAACACCCAGCUCAGUGCGUGGCUCAGACAGGCUGCUCCCCGCCAGUGCUUCCAAGAACUCUGCGAUCCAACGGCUUCCUCUGGUCGCCAGGCGUUGGGCCCUGCCAAAUCUUCUCCGAGGAGACGGUGAUGACAGAGUUCGCUUUACGGAAGGGGAGAAGCGAGCCUACCUCCAAGCACAGAGACCUAGCCAGCUGUGGAGAAGUGGGUGAAUGGAGCUACGAAGCUCUGGAAAAUCAGAGCUCUGCUGGAAUGGCCGCAACCAGCGCAAUGGAGGGAACUCACUGGAUGGAAGUCAGCCUUCUGCUGCUCCUAGCUUCAGAAAGGGCCAAGCCGUAGCUGGUUUGAACUCAAUAUCUCAGUUCUUCCAUUUGUUACCUAGAGGAGGCCAAUUUUUGUGAUUUUUGGACACUCAUUUCAUGUAAUCAUACCCCUACGGUACAAGAAAAAAAAAAAAAAACACUUUAUAUAAAUACCGACGUGUUUUGUGACACAAAAACCAGAUACAGUAUAUGGAAAAUAUAACCUCCUUCCCUCUGGAAAUGGCUUGGGAUUAUCUACUUCUUGUUCUUGUAACUCGUCCUCUACAUGCCUCUGCUUCAAGGGUGAUUUACUGCAAAUAUCUCUGUGUUCCUUUCGCCGUAUUGAUUCAUAAGAAAUCCUUUCACAAUGAAAUCAUAUUUUCCAUGAACAACAACAACAACAAAAAAAAAAAAGUCAGAUAGAAGAUGAAGAAUAUUAUUGUAACAGGAAAAUGGUUAGGACAAAGAAAGCUUAUAAUUUUGUAAACAGAGGUUGGGAGGAGGCUUUUGGGAUUGAGUUUCUGGGCAGCGAGUCAGAGGGUUUUUCUUUUCUUAUUUUGAAGACUCUACUGGCAAUGUCUGCAACCCAGAAAGGAAUAAAUAUAAACAAAUUUCCCUUGCAAUGAGGCUCUGAGGCUCUGAUAGCUCUAUUAACAGAAUGGAGGAUCCAAUGAAGGAUGUGCCCAAGAACACUGAUGGUCUGGGAGAAGUGUUUGAAAGGUUUUGACACCCCUGUCGCUUUGCCAGAGAGGAUUUAGCUCCAUGCUGUCUUCUGCUGCUGAAUAUUUAAGUGACCAAAGCCAGAUGAUUUCACGCCACAAAUGCAAUGGGGUCACCCAUUCUGAGGGGCAAAGAAAUGAUGAGGGGAGCACUUUCCAACUAAAGUGAAAGUUUGAGAG